UGGGGAAUAUUGGACAAUGGGCGAAAGCCUGAUCCAGCCAUGCCGCGUGUGUGAAGAAGGUCUUCGGAUUGUAAAGCACUUUAAGUUGGGAGGAAGGGCAGUAAGCUAAUACCUUGCUGUUUUGACGUUACCGACAGAAUAAGCACCGGCUAACUUCGUGCCAGCAGCCGCGGUAAUACGAAGGGUGCAAGCGUUAAUCGGAAUUACUGGGCGUAAAGCGCGCGUAGGUGGUUUGAUAAGUUGGAUGUGAAAGCCCCGGGCUCAACCUGGGAAUUGCAUCCAAAACUGUCUGGCUAGAGUAUGGCAGAGGGUGGUGGAAUUUCCUGUGUAGCGGUGAAAUGCGUAGAUAUAGGAAGGAACACCAGUGGCGAAGGCGACCACCUGGGCUAAUACUGACACUGAGGUGCGAAAGCGUGGGGAGCAAAACAGGAUUAGAUACCCUGGUAGUCCACGCCGUAAAACGAUGUCGACUAGCCGUUGGGAUCCUUGAGAUCUUAGUGGCGCAGCUAACGCAUUAAGUCGACCGCCUGGGGGAGUACGGCCGC
rnacentral:rRNA from 1 species